rnacentral:rRNA from 1 species
UGGGGAAUAUUGCGCAAUGGGCGAAAGCCUGACGCAGCGACGCCGCGUGAGGGAUGAAGGUUUUCGGAUCGUAAACCUCUGUCAGAAGGGAAGAAACCGCACUGUGCUAAUCAGCAGUGCCUUGACGGUACCUUCAAAGGAAGCACCGGCUAACUCCGUGCCAGCAGCCGCGGUAAUACGGUGGGUGCAAGCGUUAAUCGGAAUUACUGGGCGUAAAGCGCACGUAGGCUGCUUUGUAAGUCAGGGGUGAAAUCACACGGCUCAACCGUGGAACUGCCUUUGAUACUGCUUAGCUUGAAUCCGGGAGAGGGUGGCGGAAUUCCAGGUGUAGGAGUGAAAUCCGUAGAUAUCUGGAGGAACAUCAGUGGCGAAGGCGGCAACCUGGACCGGUAUUGACGCUGAGGUGCGAAAGCGUGGGGAGCAAACAGG